UAUAGGACGCAUCUCUCUCCAAGUCGACACUGGUCCGAUCCUAGAAAUGUGAUCACGACAGCUUUCUCACUAUAUGAAUUAGUUCUUUAACUCGUGAACUAUAAUGAACAGUUAAGUAAUAGUCUUCUCUCUUGUUAACUCAGCUCCAAACUUUGAUAUGCACAAACCAGGACUUUGUAUAACGUCAAAACUUCACUGAAGUUUUGCACACAAGAAGUUACAUCCAUCAGAAGGAGGAGUGAGGUCUUGGCAUGAUACAUAUGUGAGACAAGAUGACCCCACGAACCUUCACCUCGCUGAUUAACCUCCUGACCUCCCUCGUUCUCGUCGUGACGUCAUCAGUGGCCCCCGUGACAGACACAGGUCAAGGGACGACCCCGAGUGUGGGCACUGAACGACCACACCAGCCACCAGACGACCAAGUUGUUCAUCGUGACGGCCCCAGGGUGGACAUGGCACACUCGGGGAACGUGUCCUCGGUGCAGGGAAGGACAGCCUCACUCCGCUGUCGUGUACUGCAACGGGCUAACAAAACGGUGUCGUGGAUUAGACACAGGGAUCUACACCUGCUGACUGUCGACCAAUACACUUACACCACAGACCAGAGAUUCCAGGCCAUGUUCGAGCCAUCAACAGAGGACUGGGUACUGUUGGUCAAGUCGGUGCAACUGAGGGAUCAAGGUAUCUAUGAGUGUCAGAUUGGCACCACCCCACCUAAAAGUCAUUUUGUGACACUGCAUAUUAUAGAACCUCGGACAGAGAUCCUAGGUGGCGGGGAUGUCCACGUCAACACAGGGUCAACAAUCAACCUCACCUGCUUAGUGUUGUAUCACGCCCGCUCCCCUCACACCCUCACCUGGCUCCAUCAAGGCAAGGAGAUCCACUAUGACUCAGGCAGGGGAGGUGUGAGUGUACUGACGGAGGCGGGAGAGGUGACGCGGUCUGCCCUCCUCAUACAGAGAGCCACCAGACAAGACGCGGGCAAUUAUACCUGUCGACCACGAGGCGCUGAACCUGCCACCACCACUGUACACGUCCUCCAUGGUGAACAUCGGGCAGCCAUGCAGGGAGCAGUAGGCAGAGGCGGCUUCCCUGCCAGCACCUGUCUGGUAGCGUGGUUGGCCCUGUGGUGUGUGUGGUGGGCGGGGAUGCCUUUUAACUACCUAAUAGGCUGCCUGGUUGCAUGGGCGGCGUUGUGGUGGGCGGACGUACCCUCCAACCACCCACCAGGUUGUCCAGUAACAUGGUCGACCUUAUCCCUCCACCACGUAUGGUCUUGUAUGGUAGUGUGGGCGGUGUUGUGGUGUGUGUGGUGGGUGGGUCUGCCCCUGCACCACCUGGCACCACCUAGACACAACCUAGUGGGGAGGGAACCACCUCUCCACCACCUGUAACUCCUCAUCUCCACCAUUAAGAUCGCCGGUACCUCUCACUCACAGGAACCAAUUAGAAUUAAGUUAAGGCUAAAUCUGGAUUAUAUAUCGUUCAUUAAGAAGUGGAACAAUUCACAACCAGUUAAUAAAAUCAUCAGUUAACUACCACAUAAAAAAAUAACUACUGUUUGUUCCCCAGUCAGCCAGUCUACCAGUUAUCAAGUCUACCGGUUACAUCCGUGUUGAAAAUUGAAGUUAAAUUUGAAGUUAAAAUCGAAGUUAAAAUGUGUAUUAACUUCGAGAUUAAAAUAUUAUACGAAGCUAAAUGUCAAGAAGCGGCAAUGGUAAGUUAAUGUACAGUUGAAGUUGUUAAUACCAAUUACCACCCAUUCUACCAGUUACACCAGUCUGACAGUUAGAGCCCUUUCCAUCAGAUGUUAAAACAGUCUAUGACCAGUCUAUCAGUUAACAACCACUUGGCAAUUAUAGUGUAUUAUACCAGUUACAAACCGGUGUACUUGUUAAUAACCAGUGUACAUGUUAACAACCAGUGUACAUGUUAACAACCAGUGUACAUGUUAACAACCGGAGUACAUGUUAACAACCAGUGUACAUGCUAACAACCAGUGUACAUGUUAACAACCAGUGUACAUGUUAACAACCGGUGUACAUGUUAACAACCAGUGUACAUGAUAACAACCAGUGUACAUGUUAACAACCGGAGUACAUGUUAACAACCAGUGUACAUGUUAACAACCGGAGUACAUGUUAACAACCGGUGUACAUGUUAACAACCAGUGUACAUGUUAACAACCGGAGUACAUGUUAACAACCGGUGUACAUGUUAACAACCAGUGUACAUGUUAACAACCGGAGUACAUGUUAACAACCGGUGGACAUGUUAACAACCGGUGGACAUGUUAACAACCAGUGUACAUGUUAACAACCAGUGUACAUGUUAACAACCAGUGUACAUGUUAACAACCGGAGUACAUGUUAACAACCGGAGUACAUGUUAACAACCGGAGUACAUGUUAACAACCGGAGUACAUGUUAAC